rnacentral:rRNA from 1 species
AGAGUUUGAUCAUGGCUCAGAAUCAACGCUGGCGGCGUGCCUAACACAUGCAAGUCGAGCGAGAAAAGGGGGGCAACUCCCUGAGUACAGCGGCGCACGGGUGAGUAACACGUGGGUAAUCUGCCCUGGAGUGGGGAAUAACACCGGGAAACCGGUGCUAAUACCGCAUACGAUAGCGAGGUCUGCGGACUUUGUUAUGAAAGGAGCAAUUCGCUCUAGGAGGAGCCCGCGGCUGAUUAGCUAGUUGGUGAGGUAACGGCUCACCAAGGCUGCGAUCAGUAUCCGGUCUGAGAGGACGGUCGGACACACUGGAACUGAGACACGGUCCAGACUCCUACGGGAGGCAGCAGUGGGGAAUUUUUGGCAAUGGGGGCAACCCUGACCAAGCAACGCCGCGUGGGUGAUGAAGUCUCUUGGGACGUAAAACCCUUUCGACGGGGAAGAAACCGCAAGGUUGACGGUACCCGUAGAAGAAGCCCCGGCUAACUCCGUGCCAGCAGCCGCGGUAAUACGGGGGGGGCAAGCGUUGUUCGGAAUUACUGGGCGUAAAGGGUGCGUAGGCGGUUCGCUAAGUCGAAUGUGAAAACUCUGGGCUCAACCCAGAGCCUGCAUUCGAUACUGGCGGGCUAGAGUUCUGGAGGGGGUAGCGGAAUUCCUGGUGUAGCGGUGAAAUGCGUAGAUAUCAGGAGGAACACCGGUGGCGAAGGCGGCUACCUGGACAGAAACUGACGCUGAGGCACGAAAGCUAGGGGAGCAAACAGGAUUAGAUACCCUAGUAGUCC